UUUUGAAGAAUGAGCCUGCGAGUUAGUGAUGCGUGGCGAGGUUAACCCGUGGUGGGGGAGUCGUAGCGAAAGCGAGUCCGAUAAGGGCGUGAGUCGCGUGUUCUAGACCCGAAGCGGUGUGAUCUAUCCAUGGCCAGGAUGAAGCGUCGGUAAGACGUCGUGGAGGUCCGAACCCACUUCAGUUAAAAAUGGAGGGGAUGAGUUGUGGAUAGGGGUGAAAGGCCAAUCAAACACCGUGAUAGCUGGUUCUCCCCGAAAUGCAUUUAGGUGCAGCGUUGAGUAAAAGUUUUAUAGAGGUAGAGCUACUGAUUGGAUGCGGGGGCUUCACCGCCUACCAAUUCCUGACAAACUCCGAAUGCUAUAAAAUGUUUCUCAGCAGUGAGGGCAUGGGUGCUAAGGUCCAUGUCCGAGAGGGAAAGAACCCAGACCAUCAGCUAAGGUCCCCAAAUAUAUACUAAGUUGAAUAAACGAGGUUUGACUGCCCAGACAGCUAGGAUGUUGGCUUGGAAGCAGCCAUUCAUUUAAAGAGUGCGUAACAGCUCACUAGUCGAGCGGUCGAGCAUGGAUAAUAAUCGGGCAUAAGUAUAUUACCGAAGCUAUGGACUUGUAAAAGUGGUAGGGGAGCAUUGUAGUUGUGUAGAAGGUGAACUGUGAGGUUUGCUGGAACGGCUACAAAAGAAAAUGUAGGCAUAAGUAACGAUAAAGGGGGCGAGAAACCCCCUCACCGAAAGACUAAGGUUUCCUCAGCGAUGCUAAUCAGCUGAGGGUUAGUCGGGACCUAAGGCGAACCCGAAAGGGGUAGUCGAUGGACAACGGGUUAAUAUUCCCGUACCUGCUCACACUAAAAGUGACGGAGGCGUGUAGUUAAUGCGUACUGACGGAAUAGUACGUUGAAGCCAGUGGUAACACGGCGAUAGUACACAGAAGCUUCGGCGGACGUGAUAAUUUAGCGAAGCGACUUCCAAGAAAAGCGAGUGAAGCAGCCCGUACCGUAAACCGACACAGGUAGUUGGGAUGAGAAUUCUAAGGUGCUCGAGAGAUUCAUGGCUAAGGAACUAGGCAAAAUAGACCUGUAACUUCGGGAGAAAGGUCGCCCCACUCCGGUGGGGCCGCAGUGAAAAGGUCCAGGCGACUGUUUAUCAAAAACACAGGGCUAUGCUAAAUUGAAAGAUGACGUAUAUGGCCUGACACCUGCCCGGUGCUGGAAGGUUAAGUGGAGGGUUUAGCUUCGGCGAAGAUCUGAAAUGAAGCCCCAGUAAACGGCGGCCGUAACUAUAACGGUCCUAAGGUAGCGAAAUUCCUUGUCAGGUAAGUUCUGACCCGCACGAAAGGCGUAACGAUUUGGGCACUGUCUCAACGAGAGACUCGGUGAAAUUGUAGUACCAGUGAAGAUGCUGGUUACCCGCGACAGGACGGAAAGACCCCAUGGAGCUUUACUGCAGGUUGAUAUUGAGUGUCUGUGUGACAUGUACAGGAUAGGUAGGAGCCAUUGAAGCCGGAACGCUAGUUUCGGUGGAGGCGCUGGUGGGAUACUACCCUUGUGACAUGGCCACUCUAACCCGCGACCGUAAUCCGGUCGGGAGACAGUGUCAGUCGGGCAGUUUGACUGGGGCGGUCGCCUCCUAAAAUGUAACGGAGGC
rnacentral:rRNA from 1 species